UAGAUUGAAGCCCGCUGGAUUGGGUUUUUAGUUGUUAAUUAAAGUUUUACGGGAUCGAGGCCCGUCGGUCUAGU
rnacentral:tRNA from 1 species